CAGUAGCCGCGGGAAUACAGAGGGUGCGAGCGUUAAUCGGAUUUACUGGGCGUAAAGCGUGCGUAGGCGGCUUUUUAAGUCGGAUGUGAAAUCCCUGAGCUUAACUUAGGAAUUGCAUUCGAUACUUGGAAGCUAGAGUAUGGGAGAGGAUGGUAGAAUUCCAGGUGUAGCGGUGAAAUGCGUAGAGAUCUGGAGGAAUACCGAUGGCGAAGGCAGCCAUCUGGCCUAAUACUGACGCUGAUGUACGAAAGCAUGGGGAGCAAACAGGAUUAGAUACCCGCGUAGUCCCUGUCUCUUAUAC
rnacentral:rRNA from 1 species